rnacentral:rRNA from 1 species
GACGAACGCUGGCGGCGUGCUUAACACAUGCAAGUCGAACGGAAAGGCCCUGCUUUUGUUGGGUGCUCGAGUGGCGAACGGGUGAGUAACACGUGAGUAACCUGCCCUUGACUUUGGGAUAACUUCAGGAAACUGGGGCUAAUACCGGAUAGGAGCUCCUGCUGCAUGGUGGGGGUUGGAAAGUUUCGGCGGUUGGGGAUGGACUCGCGGCUUAUCCGCUUGUUGGUGGGGUAGUGGCUUACCAAGGCUUUGACGGGUAGCCGGCCUGAGAGGGUGACCGGCGACAUUGGGACUGAGAGACGGACCAGAAGCCUACGGGAGGCAGCAGUGGGGAAUAUGGCACAAUGGGCGGAAGCCUGAUGCAGCAACGCCGCGUGCGGGAUGACGGCCUUCGGGGUGUAAACCGCUUUCGCCUGUGACGAAGCGUGAGUGACGGUAAUGGGUAAAGAAGCACCGGCUAACUACGUG